GAUGCACAUAACAAGCCAGUGAGCCCCAACAACUCAGGGGUCCUCUGGCCACGAGCAACUGAUGGCUUUGCUUUGAAGAUCAUCAUUGCUCUUAGAAUUUUAUCCUAACAGUGUCACAUUAUAUUCUCUAUUUACAGAGGCUCAUAGGAAAAUUUCCAAUACUACAAAGAACUUUAAAAAAAACACCCUUUAAUGACUCAUUUUAUUAAGCAAAUUCUCCCUGCUAACAUCUUUGUUACUUAAAUACUUAAAUUUCCUAUACUUCAUGCAGACCUAGUUUCACUUUCCCGUGUUCAAAUAAUUCCCUUUCAAAAAAUAUUCUCUUCAAGGCACUUUCCUCCAGUGUGCACGGCCCAUUCACUUUCAGCAGACAACGACGAUGAUAAAUAAAAGCAAUCACAGGAUCUGUAAGGUGGAGGGUUCAGGUUGUUUCUUUCCCAGAAUCAUUAAGGGGCAUAUUUUCAUCUUGGGGCAUAAACGAACUGAAUCUCACAGUCUGGGAGGAAUUUAGACCACCUGUCUGGCAGCACACUGGCUGGAGGUGGACUGUGUGCGGACGUCCUGGGGGAAGGGUGUGGAGGAAGGCAACACACACGAAACACUCUCGUCCACAUCCCUUCCCCUGCUUUUUAACUGGAUGGAAAUAUGGCUUUGUGUUGGUUCAGGUGACAUAAAAAGGUGAAAACAGUAGAUCUCAAAUUAUAUUUUACUUUAAAUACCAAAGGUCAAAAAGGGGUCCACAAAUCAGUAGCUCCUGAGACCGUGCGUGCGCGCGUGCGUGCUUAAGUGGGUCUGUUUCAAUUCCACAUGGGUUUUUCCACACACUGGUUUCUGGCAUCGAGCGCUGGUCUGCAGGACACCAGAGUGCCUUUGUGUCCCUUGCUGACACUACCGCAUUGUGUUUUUCUACCCAUUAACCAAGGAUAAAUGACCUAGAUAUUGUGCCUGUUAAAGCCUCAUUUUUCUUUUGCCCUUUUGUUCUUCAGUGUACCACAUUAUCACACGCUGCACACAUUUCUAAGUAUUCUCGGUCUCAGAUGCCCUUUUGAGGGAGUAAUAGGAGCUUUUUGUAUGCAUUUCUGUUGAGAUAUCUGGAGUGGAAUUAUGUGAGAGUAAUUCAAGGUUUUCCUUCCUGUCUAGUCUUCGAGACAGUUUAGUGUCUUACCAAAAGCUAAUCUAGUAUAAGAGGAUAUAUCAAGAAACUGUACAAAAGCCAGAAUGCUGUAUUUGCAUCUAUUGCGAAUACAAAAAAAAUAGAGUGAACACCAGUUUCCCUAUAUACUACAUUCUAUAAUUACAUCUCUGCAUAUCAUGGGUCACUUUUAUUAAAAGCAUCAUUACUACAGUUGGCAGCAAUUUACAUUUUAU
rnacentral:lncRNA from 10 species